rnacentral:rRNA from 1 species
AUUGAACGCUGGCGGCAGGCCUAACACAUGCAAGUCGAGCGAGAGGCGGACGGGUGAGUAAUGUCUGGGAAACUGCCUGAUGGAGGGGGAUAACUACGGGAAACGGUAGAUAAUACAGCAUACCAUCAGAAGUGCCCAGAUGGGAUUAGCUAGUAGGUGGGGUAACGGCUCACCUAGGCGACGAUCCCUAGCUGGUCUGAGAGGAUGACCAGCCCCACUGGACCUGAGACACGGUCCAGACUCCUCCGGGAGGCACCAGUGGGGAAUAUUGCACAAUGGGCGCAAGCCUGCUGCAGCCCUGCCGCGUGUGUGAAGAAGGCCUUCGGGUUGUAAAGCCCUUUCAGCGGGGAGGCGUUACCCGCAGAAGAAGCACCGGCUAACUCCGUGCCAGCAGCCGCGGUAAUUC